AGAUGGAUGCAUUCUGGGACGUGAUGUGUUAAAAUGUAAUGGCUAACAUAUACCCAUGUUUCCUUAGACAUUUCUGCUGACCCCUUUAAAAUAUUGAGCGAAGACAUAAAAUAUUAAGACUGUACUUUUUCAUUAUGAUUUAUAUUUUGGCGCAAUUUUGUGCAACGCGUCACUGUGUGCGACCAUCACAGAAACCAUUGCCCAGCGCGAUUCUACCAUGGUUCCUUAAUCCCUGUCCUUUUAAAAAAACAGCACCUCAUUACAUAAAAAAGGCACUUUUAAGAGCCACAUUUGUCUUGUAUCAUGUUACUCUCUUUACUGUUGUAUUGUUUUCUCUCUCUUGCUGUCUUACUGUCUCCCCCCCAUCCCUCUGAGUGGGGUUUUUGUUUGUUUGUUUUGUCUUUUUUUUGUCUGUGCGUUUAAAGUGUGUUUAUCUUUUGUGCCACGUCUGAUCCUGAGAUGGACUGUCUCCUGAAUGAGAUGAGUGACCUUGUCGAUCAGGCUGAACAUCAAGCUCACCUCCAACAGCUCAUUAGCAUGCACAAGGAAGCCGAACCAUCCACCAGUCAGCCUUCCACCCGUAAUCCAUCCACCAGCCAGCCAUCAAACAGCAAGCAAGAUCUUAGGUGGAUUAAGAGGGACAGUGAUGGAAACAUUAUUUACAGCAGGCCCAGAUCAUCACGGAAACAAGCAGGUCCCAGUCACUGCAUCGAGAAGAGUCGAAAGACACAGAGUCAAAAGACUGGUGUCUCUCAUAUCAGGGCUCCGGAAACCAGU